rnacentral:rRNA from 1 species
ACUCAAAUGAAUUGACGGGGGCCCGCACAAGCAGCGGAGCGUGUGGUUUAAUUCGAUGCAACGCGCAGAACCUUACCAGGGCUUGACAUCCUACGUUCAGGCGGUGAAAGCCGCUGGCCGCGAGGCGAGUAGGACAGGUGCUGCAUGGCUGUCGUCAGCUCGUGCCGUGAGGUGUUGGGUUAAGUCCCGCAACGAGCGCAACCCCCGGGUCCAGUUGGGUGUCUGGACCGACGGCCGGGACCAACCCGGAGGAAGGUGGGGACGACGUCAAGUCAGCACGGCCCUCACGCCCUGGGCCACACACACGCUACAGUGGCCGGUACAGCGGGCCUGCGAAGCCGCGAGGCGGAGCGAAUCCCUGCAAAGCCGGCCGUGGUGCAGAUCGGGGGCUGCAACCCGCCCCCGUGAAGGCGGAGUUGCUAGUAACCGCGGGUCAGCACACCGCGGUGAAUACGUUCCCGGGCCUUGUACACACCGCCCGU